CGCGUUGAAUAACUUAGAAAGUGCGUCACAGAGACAGACACAGAGACAGACAGACAGACACAAGGAGAGAGAGAGUGUGUGUGGGUGUGUGUGAGCGGUGGCUUCUGCAGACAUGAUGGCGAAGGUUUAAUGGCCGCCUACUCUUUUCUCCCCUAUUAUCUCUUUCCAACUCUCUCUAAAAGUGUCCCUCGCCCUUGCUCUCUCUUUUUUUUCAUUCAUUCUUUCUCCGUGGCUGCUUAUGUGAGAUGAUGGUGUGCGGCUGGAGUGAUUACCGAGGGGGGUUGUUGCAGGGCAGCCGCUGAUUAAGCAAAGCACUCUUACUAAUUUUGCAGGCCGCCACAGGACAACGCACUGCCAAUGUUAGUUAGGCGCUGCUGCAUGCAAUUGCUGAGGAGGAGGAGGAGGAGGAGAGAAGGUAGAGGAGAUAAGAUCCCCCCUGCCUCUUGGGGUUUGAUGAGUGUGGGAUUUCGGGUGUAUGUUUAUCCAUCCGUGGUAUGUGUCAACAGCCAAGAGAUUCGUUGUGCUUUGCUGCGGCUGGCCUUCCUGAAUUUCCGGCUCCAUCCGUGCUUAGGUGACCCUUGCCUGCCAUCAAUCUCUCAAUCAAUCCCGCGCGCCCCGCUCCGCCUCGCCCUCUCCUCUUCCCUCUUCCUCUCCUUCUCGCUCUCUACCUCUCCCUCUCUCUGCCUCUCCCUCCGACACAGCCUCGGCGUUUCUGAACAAGAAGAACGUCGUCCAGGCGUGUUACGUCAAGAUCAAAACGGUGUGCAGACUGCAGUACUAAUCAGUUUCACCCGAAUGCUUGUUACAUGUAGGUCUGAGAGUUGAUGUUCUCUGGUAGUCUCCGCCCUUAGGUUAUGAAGCGCACUCUUGUGUAGCAUGUUUCUGCGAUCCAAAGAGAGAAUUAAUACAGUAAACCUUUUCAGAAAUUUCCUGCAGAUCCACUGAAACGGCCUGUGAGGUGAUUAGUAUCUUCCAUUUCAAGUGUCUAGCCUUCUGAAGUCUCAUGCCUGCAGCUUUUCGUCAUAAUUGGGAUUUUUGUUGCUACCGCCUUUUGCUCAAGCCUUAACCAUUGUUAAGUCGAAGGUCUCUUGUCCUUCUUAACGGUGCGUACCGAACUUAGCGCAGUUGCUGUUUGUUCCUACUUCAUUACCGGGUAAUCUAGACUGAGGCCGACUCUUCUUUCAGAACGACGUACGACUGUUGAAGCCUUUCCUCACCAUUUUCAGGUCGCGGUUAGAUGAUAGAUCAGUUAUUGCAUGUUAGUCCUGGUCCUCUAUGGUCGGUAUUCUUCUCUAUCACAUUUUUUGCGUGAGAUUUUAUAGUGUCACAUCUCCUAUUUCAUCUGCCUUGUAGUUAUUGUAGGGAGUGGUUGUAUAAACGAACGGAACGUCUGCCGCGACCUGUCGUGCAGUUUACACUGGGUUGCAACAUUUUUCUGUAGCUGAAUUUUUUGCAGUUUUAGCUUCAAGCGUUGAUAGGAAUUCUGAUUCUAGGGUAGCGCUACAUCUUGAAUCAGCUCCCAACUUCGCCUGAAUCCAUUGAACUUAUUCCUGCACUUCAGCGUGUACAUACAGCCAAACCUCAGCACACAUGAAACAACUGUGCCACUCUUGCUCGCUACAACAAAUAAUCACAAGCAAGUACACGUACAGCGCUUCUUCAAACGAACUGAAGUUGGAUUUGUAGAACAGGAUGCGGAAGUUUCUACUGUAAUAGAGCUUGCUGUGACACGAGUAUCGGUAUGAACCAGCAGGAAUAUGGUAGCUGAAGCAACGAGUUACAAGUGAAGUGUGACCUUGAACCAGCAAGUGAACAGUCAUGGAUUGCGUGGCGGCCUCCACGGUCGAUUGCAGCAUGUGUGGCGAUGUGGGAUUUUCUGAUCAACUCCAGCAAUGUAAAGCAUGUGUUCGCGUUCAGCACUCGAGCGCUGAUUUGUAAUGGAUAUCCCUCCGUCGAACAUUUAUUCUACUUAGAAUUGUUCUUAUUUACUUAUUGCUAUCGCAUAGAUAUUGUUCCGCGUUGAAAGAGGGUCUCGAAACUGGAAACUGGGUCUGCGAUUGGUGUAGAUUGGAGAGACAGCGUAAAUCUAAAGUUGAGAAACAUGCAUCCUUCGUAUCAAGAACGAAGGAGGCUACUCGAGAAUUGUCACAGUGUACGUUAAAAUCCUCAGAUAAUGGCCUUGAAUUUCUAAUUAAGGCAGUGCUGUCAACCAAGGAGGAAUUUCCUCCAUCAGCUUCUUUGACGACCAGAACUGGAAAUUGUAGCUCCAACUGUUCUUCAAGUGUAGAGAGUGAGAAAUUGAGUUCUGGCGUUCGUUCUGCCUCUUGCCCGCUCGGUGGGGCAAGAUCAAAUCUGCGCAAACAGGGCGGGGCCAUUGACAGUAGCAUUUCAGAUGAAGAAGGAAGUAUUGGAACUGUUCAGAUGCGAACGAGUGCUUCUUGUGACAAUAAGCGAAGUCCAAGCAGCCUUCGUUGCAGUGUUCGAGGAAGUAGAGGUUUGAAACAAAAGCAUUCGGAUGUAAAGACAUUAAGGACUCAGAUGUCAUUGCCAUCAAGACAUAAUGCACCUACACCAUUAAAGAGGCUCUCUUCCCUCAAGGUACUGUCUCGCUCCAACAACAUUACAAUGGGAGACGAUCAAUCGAGGGGUCUUGUGAGACGAUACAAGUCAUUAUCCGACAUAUGUUAUUGACUUUUCUCAUGAACACUGUCUGAAGUUCACCGAGAUAACAUUGUUGUUCACCCUACGAACCCACGUCAAGUUGGACAUUCUGCUGUAACAAUUUCUUGCCUCUUGCGACAGAGAAGGUUUGUGUUUCUACACAUUUUCACAAACUUUCGAUGAAAUCUGGAUGCUUUGACUAAGACUAAGACAUUCCAUGGGAUUGGCUGGGCUUCUAACCGUUAGUCUCCUCAAUGUGCGUGUUCACUGGUGAAAAGUGAGGGCACGUCCUAAAAGAGUGCCCCUUCUCGAGUGUUCUUUGUUCGGAACAUUUUCCCUUAUGGUUUUCGUAUGCCUUAGUGGGGCGAGUUUAUCUACACCGGUUAGAAGGUGGGAUGGUUGUGCACGGUUAAGCUCAGUUGGUCUUUGGAUCUGUAAACAUAGCUCUAUAAGAGAACCACUGGACAGAAUCCAGAUUUCUCUUGUUGAGAAGAGUUGUUCUCUAUUAUAAUAGUUCGGGAUUCUGUUUUUCAGGACUUGGCACUGUCGUGAGUUUACUGCGUCUAGGCAGAAUUCUAGUCCAUUUCUGGGGAGGGAUAGUUGCAGCACAUAGGGCGUAACCUAAUAGAGGGAUGUACAAGAACAGAAAAAACAAAAAGGAUUGUAUCUAUUAAAAAUCGUUUUCUGUUUUAGUAGACCCUCAAGUGGCUGUUGUUAUCCGACACGAACCACUUGUCUUCAAAUGUGUGUCGACCUGUAAUUCUAGUGUUAAAUCCAUUUUUCUUAAUUUGCA